UCCUACGGAGGCAGCAGUGGGGAAUAUUGGACAAUGGGCGCAAGCCUGAUCCAGCAAUGCCGCGUGGGUGAAGAAGGCCUCGGGUUGUAAAGCCCUUUUGUACGGGAAGAAAUCAUCCGGGUUAAUACCCUGGGUGGAUGACGGUACCGUAGAAUAAGCACCGGCUAACUUCGUGCCAGCAGCCGCGGUAAUACGAAGGGUGCAAGCGUUAAUCGGAAUUACUGGCGUAAAGCGUGCGUAGGUGGUUGUUUAAGUCUGUCGUGAAAGCCCUGGGCUCAACCUGGGAAUGGCGAUGAUACUGGGCGACUGGAGUGCGGUAGAGGAUGGCGGAAUUCCCGGUGUAGCGGUGAAAUGCGUAGAGAUCGGGGGAACAUCCGUGGCGAAGGCGGCCAUCUGGACCAGCACUGACACUGAGGCACGAAAGCGUGGGGAGCAAACAGAUUAGAUACCCUGGUAGUCCACGCCCUAAACGAUGCGAACUGGAUGUUGGUCUCAACUUGGAGAUCAGUGUGAAGCUAACGCGUUAAGUUCGCCGCCUGGGGAGUACGGUCGCAAGACUGAAACUCAAAGGAAUUGACGG
rnacentral:rRNA from 1 species